rnacentral:rRNA from 1 species
UACAGAGGUCCCGAGCGUUGUUCGGAUUCAUUGGGGCGUAAAGGGUGCGUAGGCGGCGGGGCAAGUCUGAUGUGAAAUCCUGGGGCUCAACCCCAGAACUGCAUUGGAUACUGCUUUGCUAGAGUACUGGAGAGGGAACUGGAAUUUACGGUGUAGCAGUGAAAUGCGUAGAGAUCGUAAGGAAGGCCAGUGGCGAAGGCGAGUUCCUGGACAGUGACUGACGCUGAGGCACGAAGGCCAGGGGAGCAAACGGG